UCCGCUCACUGCACACGUCCGAACAGUUCCGGGAGUCUUUCGUCGGCUUAAUGAACCACUAUGGAAAAGUGCAACGGAUGACCGCUGAAAUCGAGCAGCUCUUCUCGGCGGCAUACUUUGCCCAGUUCGGGUCGAGCGGUUUGGUGAUUUGUGCAUCCGCUUUCAAGACAUCUUCAAUGUUCAACCUGUACGAGCUGACCGCCAUCCAGAAUCUGCUCUACAUGCUGUCGAUGAUAUUUCAAAUGUUCUUACCAUGUCGCUUCGGCAAUGAGGUGACGCGCAAAAGCCACCUGCUUCGGACGUCCAUUUACAGCUCCCGUUGGUAUGAGAUGGGAUUGCAGGAGCGCAAAACGUUGCGUAUGUUACUGCAGCGCAUGAACAAACCGCUCACGCUGAAGGCGUCCUAUUUUUUCAACUACAAUCUACAGGCGUUUACUACGACACUCAAUAUGGCCUAUUCGUUGUACGCAUUGUUGCAACGCAACGCAUUGAAGAAAGUUUAAUAUUAAUAUUGGUUCUAUCAAAGGUUAUGUUUUGGAACAACAACUAUUCGUAAAACAAUGACAGCAUAAAUGAAGCGAGCAUUUGUCGAUGAAACAAAAUUAGUUACACAGCGAUCAUUGGUUUUUCGUUCGAUAUAUUUCCCUCUCGUACACAAUUGCAAUUGCUGUUCUUCAGCGUUUCCCUUCGCUUGGUAAUCGUUUCAGGAACUUAGCCACUAAAACGAUAAGUACACCAUCCCUCUUCAACCACACAUGCUUACUGAUUCGUUACCUGCCUUCGCUAGCCUGUUUAACGUCUUAAUGUUCGAUGUACCCGAUACGCCUUGCAUUGCAUUGGUGUACAAAUUAAUAAUACAUAAUAUCUAUGCGUACGUUUAAAGAAGGAUACAGAUUAUUCCCAUUGCUGCGCUGCGCUCUGCCAUUUGAUGUUGAUGAUCGUUAUUUCUUUACUACGAUGAGACAGACCCACCACUUGGCGCAUUUGUUAGUUGAUAGGUUGAUGAGUAUAAAUUACUAAAUUAUAAUUUAAUUCGUGUUAAUGCGUGUAAGCAUGUACACCACAAACAAAUUGAAAGCGUUGUUUGGCGAUUAUCAUUUAUUGCGCCACAAUUGCGCGGUACGAUCGCAAGCAUUGGUGUGUACAUUUGCUUUGCACUGAAAGAAAAGAACGAACGAAUUAAAAUCAAGGACAUGAAACAAAUUGCACACGUGGAAUGAAGAUGAUUCUAACCGCACACACGCCCAUCUAAUGUGAGACAAAAUUUGCCGGAAAUGAUAAUAAAAACCAAUUAAAUGUAGCAAAGCAAUUAAAUACAACGGCAACGGCACGCAAUGCAAACACCGAAGUAAGCUUAAGCGGUGGUGGUGCCGGCGGCCCUGUCUAUUGUGCAUCGAAAUCAUGUUACUCCGUUAAAUCAUACAAUGAAAUUUUUGUGCAGUUUUGGAAGAAAAACACGCUCUAAAUUCAUCAAAUUAAAACACACAUAGAACACAUAGAUCCAAACAAACAAAAGUUAUAAAUAAAUGAUUUCAGUACGUUGGAACGAAUGGGUCGGAAAAAAGUGGAUGGAAAUUGUUACAUAUACCAUCAAAAUUGCGAUUGGAAGAGCUCGGCAAUAACAACAAAAAAGAGCAUUUCACGCAUAAGCAUCUUAAUUACAGUAUUUUGCUCGCGCAUCACUUGCAAGGAAGCUUCGCAAAAAACUGAUUAGCCCCUACAGUGUCUAUUUUGUGUGAUAAGAGUUUUCCUGUGCGCGUGUAACGGAAAAAGCGUGCAAAUCGUUUCGGUUUCAACUUUCCUCAGCACAUAGACACCGAACACGUUUGCUGAACACGUUACGUCUUCUUAUUGCCUCGGAACGGACCAUUCCACAAUGUAACUUAAAUUAGUUUAGAUUCUAUACGCACACACACACAAUAUGUUCUGGCGGAUCGUAUUUGCUUAUUCUCUCGAAGAAAAAAAAGAAUGGGACAUCCCAAAUGCACAUGAAUAAAACAUAAAAAAAUAAAACCGAUUUAUAUAAAGCGUUGCCGAGAAGCGGACGCCACCCAAAAAUAGUACGAUCACGGGUGAGUAACUUUUCAAACGAAACACAAUUCCGGUACGCGGUGUAACCGUUGCUCGACGCUCGAUCGAGAUGUAAACCUGAGAGGAAGGGAGAGAAGCGUCUCCAGUGGCUGCCCGAAAUCAUCCUAAAAAUGUUCUAUUUUCUUCCUCUACCCCUGUCUAUACCCGACUAUACUUCUUCCCACUUUUUCCCACUUUUCUGCAGACACAGCCAGCAGUACAGGAGGCGCGUGUGCCACCUCCGCAAAAAAUAAGAAACAAAAACUGCUGCAGAAUGAAUGCUUGCCCCAGGUGCGCGGAAACAGUUUAAAACGUUUUCCGAUGGAUCGCCCGCUGACCGUCCUCGUCGAACUCUCGCUUCGAGACCCACAUCUUCUUGAAUGUGUCGAGCGAGGCCAGAAUCGAUCCACCCAUCCAGGUAGAGUAGAUACGCUCCUGUGGUGCAGCGAUCUGAAACGAAAUGACGAAAGUCCCACAGAAACACAAUUAACACCUGUUCAACAAAAUGCCUGUAUCGAACGUAGGAAACUUACCCUAAUUUUCAUAUCCUUUGCCACGUGCUUUCUGAUCUCGGACAGUAACCGAUCGCCGAAACCCUUGAACAGGGUCGAUCCGCCCGACAGCACAAUGUUCUGAUAGAGCAUCUUCCGCAAAUCCAUGUCGGACUUUUGAAUCGAGUAUAUUAGCACCUCGUGGAUGCCCUCGCACUCCUCGCCGAGCAUGUGCGGGCGGAACAGCACCUCCGGUGCCCGGUAGCACGCCGGUCCAAUCUCGAGCACGUUACCAUCCGGCAGCACGUACUUCGUCUUCUCCGUAUCGACCGUCUCUUCCUUGAGCGGGUUCGUCGCCAGCGAGCAGACCUUCUCCUUGAUCGAGCGCACUAUCUCAAACUCGGCCGUCGUACGGAAGCUGAAGCCCUCCUUGCGGAUCAGCGUCUUCAGGUAGCGGGUCACGUCCCGCCCCGCAAUGUCCACGCGCAUGAUGCUGUGGGGCAUGGCGAAGCCUUCGAAUAUCGGUACGGCGUGCGUCACACCGUCGCCCGAGUCGAGCACCACGCCGGUAACGCGCCCGGUCGCGUACAGACUCAGCACGGCCUGCAUCGACACGAACAGUGCGGGCACGUUGAACGUUUCGAAGAAGAUUUCGGCCGCCUUUUCGCGGUUUUUCCGGGGGUUCAGGGGCGCUUCGGUCAGCAGCACCGGAUGUUCCUCGGCGAACGUGGACAGCUCAUCCUUGCUGUAGAUGUACGUCCAGAUCUUUUCCAUAUCGUUCCAGUCGGUCACGAUACCGUGCUCCAUCGGGUAGCGGAUGCUUAGCAGGCCCCGAUAGUCUUCCGCCUUUGGUCCCACGAACAUGUCCCCCUCCAGUGCACCGGCCAUCACGCGCACGUGUUUCGGCCGGCCCAUGCUACAGUGAUGAACGGGGGAGGGAAAGGUUUUAAGCCACACAUGGAAAGAAAACAGUUUCUCCACAUCGAAGUCGCCGUUGCGAUACUUACUAGUUGGGAAAGCGACAUUUUGGUAUGUGAUCGCCAGCGAAGCCAGCCUUUAUCAUUCCCGAACCCUGCAGGCGAGACAGAAGGAAAGGAACGAAACGCCAUUAGAACAAAGGAUUCAACAAUUCAUACGAAAGUUUAGUCUGUACGCAGAAAUGUACGCAGAAAGGGUUAAACAAAUUCGCCGUACAUUGGCCAACGCAGUGCCCCCGAACCCCAACUUAACCAUAUUCGAUCGAAACCGGAUGGCGCAAGUGGAUGAAUUUUACUUGCGCUGCCAGCAGCAGCGUGAUUACUAUCGGGAUCGGACCGACCUGCUGCAACAGCUGCCAGAAUUUCGACGUCCGCUAAAGCGCAGCUUUAUGCGGUUGAUGAACCCUACCGAACACUAUCUCCGGCUGCAUCGGUGCUCGACGGGCUACAGCUCGGAAAGACGCUUUUGAUAUUGCUCCAGCUCCAGCAGCGGACAUUGUGCGAUCCAUCACUUCUAGCGAAAUAAAAUCUUUAUCAGUUCGGCUCCGCUAGAGCCUUUGUAA